AGAUUGAACGCUGGCGGAAUGCUUUACACAUGCAAGUCGAACGGCAGCACGGGGGCAACCCUGGUGGCGAGUGGCGAACGGGUGAGUAAUACAUCGGAACGUGCCCAUGUCGUGGGGGAUAACGGUAGCGAAAGCUACGCUAAUACCGCAUACGAUCUACGGAUGAAAACGGGGGAUCGCAAGACCUCGCGCGAUUGGAGCGGCCGAUGGCAGAUUAGGUAGUUGGUGGGGUAGAGGCUCACCAAGCCUUCGAUCUGUAGCUGGUCCGAGAGGACGACCAGCCACACUGGGACUGAGACACGGCCCAGACUCCUACGGGAGGCAGCAGGUGGGGUAAUUUUGGACUAAGUGGGACGAAAGGCCUGAACUCCGAGCCAUUCCGCGUGCAGGAGUGAACGGCCCGUCGGUUACGUAAACGUGUACGUUUUGGAACGGAACGUAAAAGUCCUUUUUACUAA
rnacentral:rRNA from 1 species